AGUGAACGCUGGCGGUAGGCCUAACACAUGCAAGUCGAACGGCAGCACAGUAAGAGCUUGCUCUUACGGGUGGCGAGUGGCGGACGGGUGAGGAAUACAUCGGAAUCUACUUUUUCGAGGGGGAUAACGUAGGGAAACUUACGCUAAUACCGCAUACGACCUACGGGUGAAAGCAGGGGAUCUUCGGACCUUGCGCGAUUGAAUGAGCCGAUGUCGGAUUAGCUAGUUGGCGGGGUAAAGGCCCACCAAGGCGACGAUCCGUAGCUGGUCUGAGAGGAUGAUCAGCCACACUGGAACUGAGACACGGUCCAGACUCCUGCGGGAGGCAGCAGUGGGGAAUAGUGGACAAAGGGCGCAAGCCUGAUCCAGCCAUACCGCGUGGGUGAAGAAGGCCUUCGGGUUGUAAAGCCCUUUUGUUGGGAAAGAAAAUCAGCAGGUUAAUACCCCGCUGUUCUGACGGUACCCAAAGAAUAAGCACCGGCUAACUUCGUG
rnacentral:rRNA from 1 species